AAUUUUGAACAUCUGUAUCUGCUUUGAUGUAAUCCGUUGCCUUGCACGCCUGCGCGGCCCGCCGUGCGGGCGUGCGGCGUCUGCCGCGCCUCGGGCUCGGGGCGUGACAGAUUUGGUGGUAUCAGAGCUCAGGUUUCAGAUUCUUAGGGAUUGUGUUUGAAAUAGUCAGAUGGAGCUUAAGUUUUAGGAUCUUUAGGAUUCAUCGGAAAGUUUGAGAGAUGGGUAGACAUUAGGCCAUUAGACGAAGGCAUUUAUUUGCUUUUGUUAUUGAUAAAUUUGAGUUAUUUUAUCCUAAUUUUGAAAUGCUAAAAUUAGAAUGCAACCUAAUUAUGGUCGUAACCGAAGUGUGAAUAAGCUAUUCCGAGAGUAUUCUUGGUAGAGCAAUUUGUAUUUCAAGUUAUGAUUAAUUAGAUUUUGACUAAAUUAAGUGAAGGAAUGUUAAUCAUGGAAUAUUAUCGUGCAAUGUAAUUAUUUUGGAAGUUCAACUUGAUAUCAGGCACUGUGGAUAUUGCUUCUAGUUGAAGUUAAUUAUUUUGGUAGCAAUUUAAGAUUCAUCUAUAAAAAGAUGUUUAAAGCUUGGACUAGAAAAUAUUUUAUGAUAUUCAUUGAAAUAUUCUUCGAGGAUUGAUAUCUGUAUGUGGAUCAUGUAUGAAACUCUUGUGUAGAUAGAAAACAUAUUUGGGAUGAAAUUCUAGAAUUUUCCUUUGGCUUUACCUAGAAUUUGAAAUUUUNN
rnacentral:lncRNA from 1 species